rnacentral:lncRNA from 1 species
AGUUUCUUUUAUAAGUACCGCACCGCAUGCUUUACCGCCAUUAAUUUCGUUGGAUCUUUCCGAGAAUGUUGUAUAGGUAUUGCGUUAGGUAACAGUUAGCAUAUAACACGGAUUAAAAUAUCUUGUUUUUCAAAGGUUUAAGUGAUUGCAUAGACAUGUGACUACAGCUUAGUAAUUGUUAAAUUUAUAAAGGAAUCGAUCAAUCACGUCAGCUCCUUCAAGGCAUCCAUUUUGUUUUGUGUCGUUAAGAUACUGCUUUGCUUGUGUGCUGUGACCCUAUUUAAUGAUAAUGUUGUAAUAAUUAUGUCAUUUUCUAGGGCAGUGAUACAAAUUUUGUGAUCUCUGAUUUUGAUGUUCAAAUUACUUUGCCCAUGCCCUAGAUAAUUCCUAUGGACUGGAUUCCAAGUAAAGAUGUUCUUAAACCAUCAUAAUUAUGUUAAGCUCUAUCAUUGUAUUAUGAAAACCUCUCUGUUUAAUUGUUUUUUUUAACCUACUUCCAUGCUUACUUUGUUUUAGUAGGAAAGUAUUCUGAACAUCUCUGGAAUCUUGUUUCUGUGAUUGGUUCCAUAGUUGUGUUGAAUCAGACACAAUUUUUAUCAUAGUUAUGGUCCAUAUAGGUGCCAAUCAGUGAGUCUUUAUGAGCGAGGAAUCUUGUGAGAAUCACUGAUCAUUGAGCCCCUGGGCUGGUCUGGGUUUGCCUGCUGUUCCUUUCCUGCGUGCCAUCAUUGAGUGGUUUACUUGUGGAUGACAAAAGUGAGAUAAUUUCAUGAAUGUUAGGUAUGUCUGAUAGUUAAAAUUUUCUACCAUUUGUUGUAAUGUGUUUUGAAAUGUCAAUUCCAUUGUGAGGUAAAGCAGCUUUAAUGGUCUGUUAUAUGGCUUUGAAUGGUGGAGUAGUGUUGCGUGCAGCUGGCUUCCGUUGGUAUGUAUUUUGCAGUUCAUCUUUAUUUUUCAGGUUCACUAUCAUAAUCACAAGGAUGCAUUGAAGCAAGUAAUGUUCUUCAAUUAAACUCAAUGGUUCAUUUGUAACUGAAUAUUUUAUUUAACAGAAGCCCUUUUUAAGAAUCUUACAGAAUUUGUCAUCACCCGCCUGUUCAGCUGUAAUUUGAUUUGCAAUCGGUAUGACCUGUCGAAAGUUAUUUGGCAAUGUGCCCUGUGAGGUAUCUUUAGUUGGUGUUUUGCACAACAUCCAAGUCGCUCCCCUGCCUAAGAAGACAACUUAGUCCAUCAAGGAUUAUUUCUCUUGAGCGGUUACAUUGAAUGCUAGGGAAGGCUUUAUGCUGGCUGUUGGUGUACUGGUGUUGGUGUGUGGUUGUAUGACUGGCUAUACAACCAGUGCGUUAUUUCUCUCGUCCAGCUCCGUACAUCGUGUAUCUGGAACAGGUAAGGCUGGUGAAUAUCUCACUUCUAACGGUUUGUGUAAAUGUUUUAUUUAGAAAUUAAUCAAAGUUUACGAGGAUACAAAUGCUUUGUUCGCCGCGCCGAAGAAUGGAACAUUGACGUUCAAUGAAAAUAAACGACAUUUGGGUAUGUUAUAGUGGAUUAGUACGAUUUUCCAAAUUCAUAUUUGUCACCUAAACCAGCUUAUUUAUAAUAUGUAAAAAUAUUUGAAUUAUUCUUGAUUCUUACUACUUUGAAUAUUAGAUGUGAUCGUCAAUGUGUAGGAUUCUAAGGACGUUUUAUUGAAAUUUUCUCGCACAGUUAAGGACUAUUUCAUACGUUCAUCAUAUUUGCCGCUGUAAUGAAAGGUAAGGUUGCAUUUUCAAGUUACGUGUUUCAAAAAUUCGUGGUUGAAACUGUCGGUAAUGAGUUAAACGUUUCACUGUAUAUUCUAUUGUUGCAAUUUGCAGAGGUUGUUUUGCGAGCUGUUUCGGUUCACGGAACUGUUAGCACCGUUCUAAAAAAGAAUGUAUUAACUUGUGAAAUUUAAUGACGGGGAAUGCAAAUUCGUAAACUUUUGCGUUAAAUUAGCAGUUUUCAACAGUCUACUUAACACGUGUGAAAUCGCCUGCUAGGUUCAGUUUGUUGAAUAACUAAACUUGUUGAUCAAAGUUAAGAAUUCUAAGAAACAUGUCGGAAGAAUCUGUAGAUUAAAUUUAGCAUCCUCGCUGACUAAGUUGAUGGCUGUUUUCCUAGCUCUCGAGUUGGAAGGGAAAAAACUUCAGAAAAUUUAUAUUUAGUAUGUAUAAAUUAAAACAAGAGUUUAUUUGAAAGUGAAUUGAUUGUUUGAAACCUAAUUAAUAUUACCAGGCAAUUAUUUUAAUCCUUGUAUGAAUAACAUGGUUACUGAUGGGUAUUUCAUUUAAUAAGUAUACGUCCGAUUUUUAUCAUACAGCUUCGUUGCUAACAUUUUUUGUUAUAGGAUUAAAACGGAACUGUUGUCAACGGUUUACCGAGUAGGAUAUUUCUUUUGACAUUUUGAAAAUUCAUUAUCAAGUCAUUAUUAGCGGUGCGGUUCCUGAGACAUUUAUGACGCAUCAGUUCCGUCACAGCAGACGUGGAAGUUUGUAUUAUCUAAAGAAAAUACGUCAAAUGUAGCACCUUCGUAAUGUUAGUGAAUUAAUGAAAACACAUUGUAAUAAUGCUGAAGCUGAGAACUUAAGAGGGGAAAAUGUAAGUAGUUACUAAACAUUCUAUCACCCAGGUUAUUUUUAUUUUGUUAAUUGUUCGCGGGUUUUGGGUAUUACGAAUUGAAAUCACACGUCCGACUUGAAUUCAACAAUUAGUUUUGUCAAAUAGUCUUAGCAACUGUCUCGGAUGCUGCAUUCUCUUGCAUCAUUUUUGUUUAAAUUGCAAGUGUUGUAAAUGUGCGAAAUUAUAAACUUUUAUCUUGUUAGUUGUAUUACAAAUAGAUGUGUCGGUA